UCCCCUCGCCCACUGCCACCGAUGAAGCUCCACCCAUCGCCCGAUAUGCCGUGUACAGCUCCGUCCCUCGCAUGAAUCAGUUUCACAAGCCGGUUCAGUCUUGCUCUCGUCCACUGCAGAUCGAGCAGACCCCUGCUGCUCCCUCGGCUCCGCUGCAGACCCCGUAGUUUCCAUCAGGUACUCUGUUCUGAGCCAGAGAGUUCAAUCACACGUACAGUAGUAGUUUCUCGUAAUCCCACGGCUUCAUGUGUUCCAAAUAAGCUUUAGCUUUGGAUGCUUGCCUGCAGUUUUGCUAGAGAAAAGUUUUCGCCUGCCAUGUGCUCGACAGAUUGUCCCACCGCCAACUAGAGGCCGAGACCGGCUGCCAAAAUGGUCAAUCUUAUUGUACCAGUAGUAGUAGUAUGCACAGUACAGUGAUCUUGCCUCUAGUGAAUCUUGUGCAUCUUAAAAGUCGUAGCUCUUAACUGCGCCUGCAUCUGUGUCCUUGCCUGCAUAGUCUGAUGUUCGACUUCUCUCUUCUUAUGCUGCAGAAUUGAUCACGCUGGUCGUUCAUUCGGCAUGUAAGCGCCGUCCUGCUCCAUAGGCCACACACUACAAGUCUC
rnacentral:lncRNA from 1 species